CUGUCCCGCCGGGACCCCUCAUGUGGGGUGGGUCGGGCUUCGUUGGAAGGCACGGAAUUGUGACCGGGGACAACCCGCCGUUAAGCGCUUUUGAAGGCUCAAAGGCUAGCUUUUCGGCACCGUGAAUCACGCAGAAUGCGGUAUCGAGGCCGGGCGGCGAUGAACAUUCAGCCAGUUGGCGACACUAAUACUGGAAUCAAUUGAGGAAUUUCGCGUGUACGGGAAUAGGCU
rnacentral:misc_RNA from 1 species